rnacentral:rRNA from 1 species
CCUACGGGAGGCAGCAGUGGGGAAUCUUGCGCAAUGGGCGAAAGCCUGACGCAGCAACGCCGCGUGCGGGAAGAAGGCCCUAGGGUUGUAAACCGCUUUCAGUAGGAACGAAAAUGACGGUACCUGCAGAAGAAGGUGCGGCCAACUACGUGCCAGCAGCCGCGGUGACACGUAGGCACCAAGCGUUGUCCGGAUUUAUUGGGCGUAAAGAGCUCGUAGGCGGUUCAGUAAGUCGGGUGUGAAAACUCUGGGCUUAACCCAGAGCCGCCACUCGAUACUGCUGUGACUUGAGUUCGGUAGGGGAGCAGGGAAUUCCUAGUGUAGCGGUGAAAUGCGCAGAUAUUAGGAGGAACACCGGUGGCGAAGGCGCUGCUCUGGGCCGAUACUGACGCUGAGGAGCGAAAGCGUGGGUAGCAAACAGGAUUAGAUACCCUGGUAGUCCACGCCGUAAACGUUGGGCACUAGGUGUGGGUUCCAACCAACGGAAUCCGCGCCGUCGCUAACGCAUUAAGUGCCCGCCUGGGGAGUACGGCGGCAACGCUAAAACUCAAAGGAAUUGACGGCUGAGACGNGCGACGACGACGACGAGGAGAG